CCUACGGGCGGCUGCAGUGGGGAAUAUUGGACAAUGGGCGAAAGCCUGAUCCAGCCAUGCCGCGUGUGUGAAGAAGGCCUUCGGGUUGUAAAGCACUUUCAGUGGGGAAGAAAGCCUUGGGGCUAAUACCCUCGAGGAAGGACAUCACCCACAGAAGAAGCACCGGCUAACUCCGUGCCAGCAGCCGCGGUAAUACGGAGGGUGCGAGCGUUAAUCGGAAUUACUGGGCGUAAAGCGCGCGUAGGCGGUCUGAUAAGCCGGUUGUGAAAGCCCCGGGCUCAACCUGGGAACGGCAUCCGGAACUGACAGGCUAGAGUGCAGGAGAGGAAGGUAGAAUUCCCGGUGUAGCGGUGAAAUGCGUAGAGAUCGGGAGGAAUACCAGUGGCGAAGGCGGCCUUCUGGACUGACACUGACGCUGAGGUGCGAAAGCGUGGGUAGCAAACAGGAUUAGAUACCCGAGUAGUC
rnacentral:rRNA from 1 species